UGGGGAAUAUUGGACAAUGGGCGAAAGCCUGAUCCAGCCAUGCCGCGUGGAUGAUGAAGGCCCUAGGGUUGUAAAGUCCUUUCGACGGGGAAGAUAAUGACGGUACCCGUAGAAGAAGCCCCGGCUAACUUCGUGCCAGCAGCCGCGGUAAUACGAAGGGGGCUAGCGUUGCUCGGAAUCACUGGGCGUAAAGCGCACGUAGGCGGCUUUUUAAGUCAGGGGUGAAAUCCCGGAGCUCAACUCCGGAACUGCCCUUGAUACUGAGAAGCUCGAGUUCGGGAGAGGUGAGUGGAACUGCGAGUGUAGAGGUGAAAUUCGUAGAUAUUCGCAAGAACACCAGUGGCGAAGGCGGCUCACUGGCCCGAUACUGACGCUGAGGUGCGAAAGCGUGGGGAGCAAACAGG
rnacentral:rRNA from 1 species